rnacentral:rRNA from 1 species
UAAUUAACGUACCGGAUGUGAUAAUAUGUAUAGAGAUGUAUUAAUUAAAGUUGAGGCGCUUAGAGAGUGGGUGUGCGUCUGUAUUAGCGUGGUUGGUAAGGGGUAACCGGCCUAACCGAAGGCGACGAUCAGGUAGGGGGCGUGAGAGCGUGGCCCCCCACACGGGUACUGAGACACGGACCCGACUCCUACGGGAGGCAGCAGUAAGGAAUAUUGGUCAAUGGACGGAAGUCUGAACCAGCCAUCCCGCGUGCAGGAAGAAGGUCCUAUGGAUUGUAAACUGCUUUUAGCAGAGACGAAGACCUUUCAUUUAUGAGAGAGUGACGGUAUCUGCGGAAUAAGCACCGGCUAACUCCGUG